AUCCUUUUGUAGUUCAUAAGCAUGAUGAUUGGGUUUUCACGCGCAUGCGUGAGAUGUGCCUCCCACAAAUCUUGUUACGACGUCGGCACAUUACCCGUCUGACG
rnacentral:snoRNA from 1 species